rnacentral:rRNA from 1 species
GAUGAACGCUGGCGGCGUGCCUAAUACAUGCAAGUCGAGCGAACAGACGAGGAGCUUGUUCCUCUGACGUUAGCGGCGGACGGGUGAGUAACACGUGGAUAUCCUACCUAUAAGACUGGGAUAACUUCGGGAAACCGGAGCUAAUACCGGAUAAUAUAUUGAACCGCAUGGUUCAAUAGUGAAAGACGGUUUUGCUGUCACUUAUAGAUGGAUCCGCGCCGCAUUAGCUAGUUGGUAAGGUAACGGCUUACCAAGGCGACGAUGCGUAGCCGACCUGAGAGGGUGAUCGGCCACACUGGAACUGAGACACGGUCCAGACUCCUACGGGAGGCAGCAGUAGGGAAUCUUCCGCAAUGGGCGAAAGCCUGACGGAGCAACGCCGCGUGAGUGAUGAAGGUCUUCGGAUCGUAAAACUCUGUUAUUAGGGAAGAACAAAUGUGUAAGUAACUAUGCACGUCUUGACGGUACCUAAUCAGAAAGCCACGGCUAACUACGUG